CCACGGAGGCUGCAGUGGGGAAUAUUGGACAAUGGGCGAAAGCCUGAUCCAGCCAUGCCGCGUGUGUGAAGAAGGCCUUCGGGUUGUAAAGCACUUUCAGUGGGGAAGAAAGCCUUGGGGCUAAUACCCUCGAGGAAGGACAUCACCCACAGAAGAAGCACCGGCUAACUCCGUGCCAGCAGCCGCGGUAAUACGGAGGGUGCGAGCGUUAAUCGGAAUUACUGGGCGUAAAGCGCGCGUAGGCGGUCUGAUAAGCCGGUUGUGAAAGCCCCGGGCUCAACCUGGGAACGGCAUCCGGAACUGUCAGGCUAGAGUGCAGGAGAGGAAGGUAGAAUUCCCGGUGUAGCGGUGAAAUGCGUAGAGAUCGGGAGGAAUACCAGUGGCGAAGGCGGCCUUCUGGACUGACACUGACGCUGAGGUGCGAAAGCGUGGGUAGCAAACAGGAUUAGAUACCCCGGUAGUC
rnacentral:rRNA from 1 species